CACGUAGGGCGCGAGCGUUGUCCGGAAUUAUUGGGCGUAAAGAGCUCGUAGGCGGCCUGUUGCGUCCGCUGUGAAAGCCCGGGGCUUAACCCCGGGUCGGCAGUGGAUACGGGCAGGCUAGAGGUAGGUAGGGGAGAAUGGAAUUCCCGGCGUAGCGGUGAAAUGCGCAGAUAUCGGGAGGAACACCGGUGGCGAAGGCGGUUCUCUGGGCCUUACCUGACGCUGAGGAGCGAAAGCGUGGGGAGCGAACAGG
rnacentral:rRNA from 1 species